AUGGGUGUUACGCGCAGACCAGCAUCAUACCAAGGCCCAAAUCUCCUCACCAAAGUUUCCGAGCUGAUCGAUCCGAACACAGGCUGUUGGGACCGUAAUCUUGUGUCAGACUGUUUCCACCCGGACGAUGUCCCCAUAAUUUUGAGUAUCCCAAUCGGCGAGCAUGGGGAAGAUUUUAUGGCAUGGCAUUUUGACAGCAAGGGCAUCUUCUCUGUGAAAUCAGCCUACAAAAUCCAUGUUCAGAUGAUGAAGGAUGAAGCAAGGCGGCAGAAGGGGCAAAGUUCUUCUGAUGUACAACCAACCUCUGAAGUUUUUCGAGCCAUUUGGAAGGUUAAAUGCCCACCAAGAGUCCACCAUUUCCUUUGGAGAUUAGCACAUAACAGUCACCCAAUGUAUAUGAACAUUAGCAGACGAGGGGUGGAGCUUGACACACGAUGUGUAGUGUGUGGGAAGCUUUUUGAGGACGGCGGCCACCUUUUUCUCAACUGUAAAUUCAUCAAGCAACGAUGGCGAGCUCUGCUACUUGAGGAUAUCAGACUCAAACUACUCCAAUGUACAUCUGCUAAAGAAACUCUGUCAGUUAUCCUCAGACUGCCUGAAGAGAGGAAGCUGCUAUCCAUUGCUUUGCUUUGGUGUUGGUGGGCUGAGCGGAACAGAGGCAAUCAUGGGGAGAAACGGCUCGAGGUUGAAGCUUUUCGAUACACUGUUAGUCAUCAUGCAAAUGAAUGGGAAGAGUUCUUGUGCGCAAAGCCGACUGCACCGGUUCGACAACAGGAUAAGUGGGUGAAGCCCCCUACUGAUAUGGUGAAAAUUAACAUUGAUGCCGCGUUUGCAGAACAAACAAGGUCUGGAGGCUGGGGCAUAAUAUGCAGAGAUGACACCCAGGACGUUUGUUUUGCUGCAGCUGGAGCCCGUCUUGAUCUGAACAGCGCACUACAUGCUGAAACAAUUGCCCUUCUCGAAGCUGUGACGCUGGCGGACAGGCUCGGUGUUGGGCGCGUGAUUUUUGAAACCGACUGCCUGGUCCUUCAGCAGGCCAUAAACUCAAAUGCCUAUGCUUUCUCGCCCCUGGGUGUGUUGUUUAGUGAGAUCAGGUUUAAACUUAGGACCCUUUUCAUUGAGGCCCAGGUGGUGUUUGUGCCCAGACUUUGUAAUGGUCCAACACAUGUGUUGGCUUCUAUAGGUGCAUGUUUAACUGUUGGUGAGCACCGUGAGUGGUUCACCAGCUACCCGGAUGAUGUACUCAGUGUUGUGACCGGCGAUCGAGCCAUGUCUUAA
rnacentral:rRNA from 1 species